CACGGGACACCUGCAUCUGCCAACAAGACUGGAAGCAGAAAGGGACAGAGACGGCGAAGUUUGACGGUCUGGAAAGCAGAGACCAGCAGGGCUGACUGCUUGGGAGCACCAAAUAUCCGGACAGCGCCUCUCGGGAGGUCCGAGAAGAGAACCGCGAUCUGUUUCAGCACCGGGGCUCAGGACAGUUCCCAGCGGGCUCCGUUUCGUCUCCAGAACCCUGGACAGCUCCUCCAGCUUGGAAUGCACUCCCUCCACCUCCAACCAGAGCUCCCCACAACUGACCCUGCCUUCUUCUGCAAGCUCCAUUUCAUCAAGGGAAACGAUCCUUAUUGCCUCACCAUUUCCCACGUGAAGUCUGUAUUGACAUUCUCAUAGACCUGGGAUAUUGUGUCUGCAGCACAUAGUCCAAUUAUUUUCAUGUUAUCUACUGACAGGUCUAUUUGUCUCCCUGUUACACUGUGAGCUCCGUGAGGGCAGAAACAAUGUUAGUAUUUUCACUGCUGUGUCCCCAGCGCCUGGUCCGGGGCCCGGCACACAGCAGGCAUAUAAUAAGCAUGUGUUGAAUCAAUAAAGGCAUCAAAGAAUAAACCAAUACAUCAAUCAAUAAAUGAAUGAAUGGCCUCAGCACACA
rnacentral:lncRNA from 1 species